rnacentral:rRNA from 1 species
CAGUCGCCGCGGUAAUACGUAGGUGGCAAGCGUUGUCCGGAAUUAUUGGGCGUAAAGGGUGCGUAGGCGGUUUGAUAAGUCUUGUGUGAAAUCUAUGGGCUCAACCCAUAGUCUGCAUAGGAAACUGUCGGGCUUGAGAGUGGGAGAGGUGAGUGGAACUGCGAGUGUAGAGGUGAAAUUCGUAGAUAUUCGCAAGAACACCGGUGGCGAAGGCGGCUCACUGGUCCGGAACUUACGCUGAGGCACGACAGCGUGGGGAGCAAACAGGAUUAGAUACCCCCGUAGUCCCUGUCUCUUAUAA